rnacentral:rRNA from 1 species
AACGAACGCUGGCGGCAUGCCUAACACAUGCAAGUCGAACGAGACCGCCGGGUCUAGGGGCGCAGGGGGGGGGAAGGAGGGGGAAGCUGCCCGUAGGUUCGGAAUAACUGCCCGAGAGGGGUGCUAAGACAGGAGAGGGUAUUCGGACCAAAGACUUAUCGCCGUUGGCUGGGGGCGGGUUGGAUUAGCUAGUUGGGAGGGUAAUAGCGUACCAAGGCCACGAUGCAUAGCUGGUCGGGGAGGAUGAUCCGCUACACUGGGACUGAGACCCGGCCCAGAAGCCUACGGGACGGUGCAGUGGGGAAUACUGUACACUGGGCGCAGGCCUGAUCCCGCCAUGUGGCGUGAGUGAUCCAGGCCUUAGUGUUGUAAAGCUCUUUUACCCGGGAUGUUAGUGACGGUACCGGGAGAAUAAGCUCCGGCUAACUCCGUG